UACGAAGGGUGCAAGCGUUAUUCGGAGUUAUUGGGCGUAAAGAGCGCGUAGGCGGUCUGUUAAGUCAACUGUUAAAUCUCCCGGCCCAACCGGGAACAAGCAGUCGAAACUGGCGGACUAGAGUGUAAGAGAGAGAAGUAGAAUUCUCGGAGUAGCGGUAAAAUGCGUAGAUCUCGAGAGGAAUACCGGUUGCGAAGGCGGCUUCUUGGCUUACAACUGACGCUGAGGCGCGAAAGCGUGGGGAGCAAACAGG
rnacentral:rRNA from 1 species